GGAUUGUGGCUCAGCGGUAGACCGUUUGCCUAGCAUGUGCAAGGCCCUGGGUUCAAUCCUCAGCACCA
rnacentral:tRNA from 1 species